UACCUCCCCCAGACGGACGAAAGGAUUAUGGUAGUAAUAAUGGGACAGCCUAUGAUUUCUACUUCUUCUUCUUCUCAUUGUUUAAUUUUCUUUUUUUUUUUUCACACACCAAAUUAACAUCUUUCCAAAAA
rnacentral:ribozyme from 14 species